rnacentral:rRNA from 1 species
UACGUAGGGGGCGAGCGUUGUCCGGAAUUAUUGGGCGUAAAGAGCGUGUAGGCGGUCCGGUAAGUCCGCUGUGAAAGUCGGGGGCUCAACCCUCGAAUGCCGGUGGAUACUGUCGGGCUAGAGUGCGGAAGAGGCGAGUGGAAUUCCUGGUGUAGCGGUGAAAUGCGCAGAUAUCAGGAGGAACACCAAUUGCGAAGGCAGCUCGCUGGGACGUUACUGACGCUGAGACGCGAAAGCGUGGGGAGCAAACAGG